rnacentral:misc_RNA from 1 species
GAUGAAGAACGUAGCGAAAUGCGAUAAGUAAUGUGAAUUGCAGAAUUCAGUGAAUCAUCGAAUCUUUGAACGCACCUUGCGCCCUUUGGCCAUUCCGAAGGGCAUGCCUGUUUGAGUAUCAUGAACACCUCAACUCUUUAUGGUUUUCCAUGAUGAGCUUGGACUCUGGGGGUUUUGCUGGCUCACAGUCGGCUCCUCUAAAAUGAAUCAGCUUACCAGUGUUUGGUGGGUAUCAUGGGUGUGAUAACUAUCUACGCUUGUGGUUUUUCCACCAGGUAACCUUCAGCAGUGGAGGUUCGCUGGAGCUCAUAGAUGUCUCCUCAGUGAGGACAGCCCUUUGAAUGUUUGAUCUCAAAUCAGGUAGGACUACCCGCUGAACUUAAGCAUAUCAAUAAGCGGAGGA